ACAAGACAAGUCAAAGGAACAGAAGCUCAGAUUGCUGUUGGUAACUUCAGAUCUAAAUUAAAAACUAGAGAAGAAAUACUGAAGUCCGUCAACAAAAGCAUUGAAGACAUUGAAGAAAAACAACAACAG